GUGAAUCAUCGAAUCUUUGAACGCAAAUUGCGCUCUCUUCGGAGAUUGUGCCUGUGUAUGGGUCAUUAUUAAUAAAAAUCUACGUGUUGCUCUUUUGUGACGUUCCGGAGUUUGUGUCAUCGUAUAACAACACCCUUUCAGGGUAUUUUUAAUAGACUUAGAGUUGACCGUUUUUGUACAUUUUAGACGUACAUAAAUUUUUUUUUAUUCUUCUAUCUUAAUGCCGAAUCUCUAUUAGAGUCUACCAUAUCGUAUUGGUCCGU
rnacentral:misc_RNA from 1 species